AAGUACCUCAGGAAAGAAUUUCAAAAGGCAGUGCAGAUUUAUACGUGCUAUUUGUUAAAAUAUUUUUAAAUACAUAUUUUAUCGGGUAAGCUUCUUUAUAGGCAUAGUAAAUUUGGGUUUUAAUUGUGCAAGAAGUAUACCUGCAUCCAUAUAGUGAGUACAAAUUUGAAGAUUUUAGGUGGAUGGUUAAGCAGCAAAAGGCCUUUCAGGCAUUGGCUGGCAAUGUAGACGUGCCCUCUGGACGAGCAACUGCCCACCAGUAUAACCCCUGCCCACCAAGGCUUUCAAGGACCCACACUGAUAGAAUGUACUUCUGUGGUCUGUGUGCUGUCUCCUGUUAUGUGGACUUCGAUGAUACAGGGAAGAGCCAAAUGCUCUGCCAUGGGUUCAGAGACGUGUGCUGACUACAGGGAAAUGAAGGCUGCCACCACCCUAUCACACUACAGGUGCUGCAGCCUCUACACUUGCAGCCUCCUCUGGGAGUGUAAAUCUCCCGGCUCAUUGCUCCAGGCUCUUUUCUGGUUUUCUCAAGGCUAGCUAGCAAAGCCACAGCCCUGAAAAAGGUGUCUCUUCCCCAUCACCUACCAAAUUUUCACACUUAUGCUGGGGCACAAGACUUUUUAAAAUAAAUGAUUGUGAUUUUUUUUU